rnacentral:rRNA from 1 species
CCCCUAGUAACUGCGAGUGAAGCGGGAAAAGCUCAAAUUUAAAAUCUGACAGUCUUUGGCUGUCCGAGUUGUAAUCUAGAGAAGUGUUAUCCGCGCUGGACCGUGUACAAGUCUCCUGGAAUGGAGCGUCAUAGAGGGUGAGAAUCCCGUCUUUGACACGGACUGCCAGGGCUUUGUGAUGCGCUCUCAAAGAGUCGAGUUGUUUGGGAAUGCAGCUCAAAAUGGGUGGUAAAUUCCAUCUAAAGCUAAAUAUUGGCGAGAGACCGAUAGCGAACAAGUACCGUGAGGGAAAGAUGAAAAGAACUUUGGAAAGAGAGUUAAACAGUACGUGAAAUUGCUGAAAGGGAAACGCUUGAAGUCAGUCGCGUUGUCCAGGGAUCAACCUUGCUUUUGCUUGGUGCACUUUCUGGUUGACGGGUCAGCAUCAAUUUUGACUAUUGGAAAAAGAUUAGGGGAAUGUGGCAUCUUCGGAUGUGUUAUAGCCCUUGGUUGCAUACAAUGGUUGGGAUUGAGGAACUCAGCACGCCGCAAGGCCGGGUUUUUAACCACGUACGUGCUUAGGAUGCUGGCAUAAUGGCUUUAAUCGACCCGUCUUGAAACACGGACCAAGGAGUCUAACAUGCCUGCGAGUGUUUGGGUGGAAAACCCGAGCGCGUAAUGAAAGUGAAAGUUGAGAUCCCUGUCGUGGGGAGCAUCGACGCCCGGACCAGACCUUUUGUGACGGUUCCGCGGUAGAGCAUGUAUGUUGGGACCCGAAAGAUGGUGAACUAUGCCUGAAUAGGGUGAAGCCAGAGGAAACUCUGGUGGAGGCUCGUAGCGAUUCUGACGUGCA